GACGAACGCUGGCGGCGUGCUUAACACAUGCAAGUCGAACGGAAAGGCCCUGCUUUUGUGGGGUGCUCGAGUGGCGGACGGGUGAGUAACACGUGAGUAACCUGCCCUUGACUUUGGGAUAACUUCAGGAAACUGGGGCUAAUACCGGAUAGGAGCUCCUGCUGCAUGGUGGGGGUUGGAAAGUUUCGGCGGUUGGGGAUGGACUCGCGGCUUAUCAGCUUGUUGGUGGGGUAGUGGCUUACCAAGGCUUUGACGGGUAGCCGGCCUGAGAGGGUGACCGGCCACAUUGGGACUGAGAUACGGCCCAGACUCCUACGGGAGGCAGCAGUGGGGAAUAUUGCACAAUGGGCGGAAGCCUGAUGCAGCAACGCCGCGUGCGGGAUGACGGCCUUCGGGUUGUAAACCGCUUUCGCCUGUGACGAAGCGUGAGUGACGGUAAUGGGUAAAGAAGCACCGGCUAACUACG
rnacentral:rRNA from 1 species